AAGUCGUAACAAGGUUUCCGUAGGUGAACCUGCGGAAGGAUCAUUACCAAUUCAAAGGUGUGGUCGCGGCCUCCGGGGGCUCCCCCCGGGCGGUAGAGGUAACACUCUUACGCGCCACAUGUCUGAAUCCUUUUUUUACGAGCACCUUUCGUUCUCCUUCGGUGGGGCAACCUGCCGUUGGAACUUAUCAAAACCUUUUUUGCAUCUAGCAUUACCUGUUCAGAUACAAACAAUCGUUACAACUUUCAACAAUGGAUCUCUUGGCUCUG
rnacentral:misc_RNA from 1 species